AGCAGCCGCGGUAAUUCCAGCUCCAAUAGCGUAUAUUAAAGUUGUUGCAGUUAAAAAAGCUCGUAGUUGAAUUUCGGGGUUAGUAGGUUGGUCGUGCCACUGGUGCGUACUGAUCUCACUGAUUCCUCCUUCCUGAUGAACUGUAAUGCCAUUAAUUUGGUGUUGCAGGGAAACUGGACUGUUACUUUAGAAAAAUUAGAGUGUUUAAAGCAAGCUAACGCUUGAAUACAUUAGCAUGGAAUAAUGAAAUAGGACGUUCGAUCCUAUUUUGUUGGUUUCUAGGAUUGACGUAAUGAUUAAUAGGGAUAGGUUGGGGGCAUUAGUAUUCAAUUGUCAGAGGUGAAAUUCUUGGUAUUUAUUGAAGACUAACUACUGCGAAAGCAUUUGCCAAGGAUGUUUUCAUUAAUCAAGAAACGAAAGUUAGGGGAUCGAAGACGAUCAGAUACCGUCGUAGUCUUAACCAUAAACUAUGCCGACUAGGGAUCGGAUGAUGUUUAAUUUUUAAUGACUCAUUCGGCCG
rnacentral:rRNA from 1 species